rnacentral:lncRNA from 1 species
CUCUUAGCACUGACCAAUGCUUGUGAUGGAGUGGAGAGUGAGGAUGGGCCUCAGCGAGCAGCCUCCUCCCUCAUGGAGGGAGGUCAUAUCCCCAGCCCCAGGGACCUCUUCAUCUAUAUAAUUUAGCAUCCCACAGAAGGACUUCCAGUAGUAAUUUAUGUGACCUGGGGGCAGGAUACUGUCAGUGAGGUGUUCAGAGCUGCGCCCUUCGGUCCAUCUCCCAUUCCCUUCCCCGUCAGAGUUUGGGUUCUGGCAGGGAUCUGGGGGUACACCACUGCUACACUGUCCCACUGCUUGCCUCCGUG